GGAGACAUCAAGGUCAUUCAUGAAGCACUCUAUAUUCAGUGGAAGGUCAGAAGCAUUUGCACUCAUAAGCUUCUUUAGUUUUUCACAUUCCUGAUACAAUCUGAGCAGCGCUCGGGGAUUCUCUUUUACAUUCAGUUUGUAUUUUGUCCUAAAUUCUUCAGAGAAGUAGUCUACCAAAGCCUCAUCAAAAUUCCUGCCGCCUAAGAAAGGGUCAAAGGUAGUAGCUAAGACCUUCAGUUUUCCCUUGUUGAAAGCACAGAUAGAAACUUGAUAUGCAGAAUGCCCCAUAUCUACAAAGA
rnacentral:lncRNA from 1 species